GAAUUUUCACUGUUCCCUUUACCACGUUUUACUG
rnacentral:misc_RNA from 1 species